rnacentral:rRNA from 1 species
AGCAGCCGCGGUAAUUCCAGCUCCAAUAGCGUAUAUUAAAGUUGUUGCAGUUAAAAAGCUCGUAGUUGAAUUUCGGGAUUGACGUGACGGUCGUGCCUUAAGGGGUAUGAACUGUCGCCGUUGAUUUCUCACCUUCUGGAGAAGCUCGAUGUCCUUAAUUGGAUGUCUUGUGGAACCAGGACCUUUACCUUGAAAAAAAUUAGAGUGUUUAAAGCAGGCAUUUUGCUCGAAUACAUUAGCAUGGAAUAAUAGAAUAGGACGGCAUGGUUCUAUUUUGUUGGUUUCUAGGAUCACCGUAAUGAUUAAUAGGGAUAGUUGGGGGCAUUAGUAUUCAAUUGUCAGAGGUGAAAUUCUUGGAUUUAUUGAAGACUAAACUACUGCGAAAGCAUUUGCCAAGGAUGUUUUCAUUAAUCAAGAACGAAAGUUAGGGGAUCGAAGACGAUCAGAUACCGUCGUAGUCUUAACCAUAAACUAUGCCGACUAGGAAUCAGACGAUGUUAAUUUUUAA